UGGUGNACAUUAUAUGUGUGUACAUGUGCUCGCCGCCACACUCUUCAUCCACUCUCAACCCCUGUGCACCUUAUCAGAGUUAGUAGUUGUGAUUGUAGCAGCCCUUGGCUCUACUGUAACAAUGAACACUUUGACAUUACAAACACGUAUCCUGUGAAUGUGAAUGUGUGUCAUGCUCCUUGUGAGUAUAAUACAAAUAAAUACAACUUUCAACAACGGAUCUCUUGGCUCUCGCAUCGAUGAAGAACGCAGCGAAAUGCGAUAAGUAAUGUGAAUUGCAGAAUUCAGUGAAUCAUCGAAUCUUUGAACGCACCUUGCGCCCCUUGGUAUUCCGAGGGGCAUGCCUGUUUGAGUGUCAUUAUCCUUCUCAAUCCCCCCGUUUCUUAAUUGAAACAAGGGGCUUGGACUUUGGAGUAUGCUGGUACUACGCUUUGUUUGUAUCGGCUCCUCUUAAAUGUAUUAGCUAGACUUGUAGUCUGCGUUGUUUGGUGUAAUAGUUUUCUAAUCUAUAUUCACUACAGNGCUUACUUAGACUGUCUGCUUCUAACAAGUCCGCCUCUGUGUCGGACAAGGUGACUUUGUUACCUUUUUUUUCCAAACUCUUUGACCUCAAAUCAGGUAGGACUACCCGCUGAACUUAAGCAUNNCA
rnacentral:rRNA from 1 species